AUUGAACGCUGGCGGAAUGCUUUACACAUGCAAGUCGAGCGGCAGCGCGGGGCAACCUGGCGGCGAGCGGCGAACGGGUGAGUAAUACAUCGGAACGUACCCAGUUGUGGGGGAUAGCCCGGCGAAAGCCGGAUUAAUACCGCAUACGACCUGAGGGUGAAAGGGGGGGAUCGCAAGACCUCUCGCAGUUGGAGCGGCGGAUGGCGGAUUAGCCAGUUGGUAGGGUAAAGGCCUACCAAGGCGACGAUCCGUAGCGGGUCUGAGAGGACGACCCGCCACACUGGAACUGAGACACGGUCCAGACUCCUACGGGAGGCAGCAGUGGGGAAUUUUGGACAAUGGGGGCAACCCUGAUCCAGCCAUUCCGCGUGAGUGAAGAAGGCCUUCGGGUUGUAAAGCUCUUUCGGCAGGAACGAAACGGUCCUUUCUAAUAAAGAGGGCUAAUGACGGUACCUGAAGAAGAAGCACCGGCUAACUACGUGCCAGCAGCCGCAGUAACAC
rnacentral:rRNA from 1 species